rnacentral:rRNA from 1 species
UACGAGGGGGGCGAGCGUUGUUCGGAAUUAUUGGGCGUAAAGGGCGCGUAGGCGGUCGGAUAAGUCUUGUGUGAAAUCUUCGGGCUCAACUCGAAGUCUGCACAGGAAACUAUCUGGCUUGAGUGUGGGAGAGGUGAGUGGAAUUCCUGGUGUAGCGGUGAAAUGCGUAGAUAUCAGGAGGAACACCUGUGGCGAAAGCGGCUCACUGGACCACAACUGACGCUGAGGCGCGAAAGCUAGGGGAGCGAACAGG